UACGGGGGGAGCAAGCGUUGUUCGGAUUUACUGGGCGUAAAGGGCGCGUAGGCGGUCGUGACAAGUCACUUGUGAAAUCUCCGGGCUUAACUCGGAACGGUCAAGUGAUACUGUCGGACUAGAGUACAGAAGGGGCAACUGGAAUUCUCGGUGUAGAGGUGAAAUUCGUAGAUAUCGAGAGGAACACCGGUGGCGAAGGCGGCUAUCUGGACAGUGACUGACGCUGAGACGCGAAAGCGUGGGGAGCAAACAGG
rnacentral:rRNA from 1 species